AGAGCUUUCACCUCCACACGUACAGGAAGUACUCCGUGGCUUCUCUUUGGCACAUCCGGGAUGCAGCGUUACCACCCCCGCACUUUUGUGCCAUCGUUCGGUGACCAACGGUUACUUGAGCAGAAGCACUGUGUUGCCACCAACAGUCAACCUUACUACGGAGAUGGUUAUCAAUAGGCAGUCGGUGACUGGACCAAGACAUAAUUCACAGCCCAGGCGGCAUACAACUCAAAUAUUAUGAGGACCCCACAGAGGUUGACAGAAACAUCAGGGAAAAUCCUUGGAUUGUUUUCCCAGGAGAAGGUGGAAGGGAACAGUUCCAGAGGUACUGUUCUGUACACACCAAUUUACCAUAUUCUCCACAGAUACCUCAGUCUACAAGAAGGAGGCAGUGAAAGGGUAGUCGAAUACACUGUAGAAAGCAUACUUCAGCAAGGGAAAGAAUCAAGAAAAAUAAUCCACCCACGGAAGAAGGUAGAGGAAAUGCUGCACUCAGACUUUCCUCUGGAAGAAAGGGAAGACAAUCUUGUGAAGCCAUCCUCCCAAACCCAAAUGAACCGUGACUUCGAGGGAAGGCUCCGUCAUAAUAUUAGAGAACGUCCUCAGCCACCACAGCAAGCACGGAGUCAAAACCAGUGGAACAAGCCCAGGAGACUUGUGAGAAAAAAUAUUAUUCCUGAUGAGAAAGUAUAAAGUACAAAGUGAAGACACAGAGCUGAGGAUUUUGCAGGUGAGCCUAGAAGCCUUGGUGACAUGGGGGCAACAAAACUAAGAACAAACCAGACGCAGUAGCACUGCAGGCCAGGCUAUUCUGAAGUCUUGCAGGCAAAAAGGGGCACACAUCUUCCAGUAUUAAAAUACUUAGCUUACAACGUGGCUGACUUUUAACACGAAAUGAUGAGACACGUCAAAAAUUAAGAAAAAGCAGAGACAAAGGCAACCCACAAGCAGCCUCAGCCAAGACGCCGAUGUUUCUAGGCUUUCCCUCCAUUCAUCCUAUCAAGCCCUGAGGAAGAAGACCCGGCUCCAUUAGAAAAGUAGAGAACAUGAAUGAUUAGAUGGAGGAUCUCAGCAAGGUGGUGUAAGCUAAAAAAUAAACAAAUGAAAAUGGUAGCUAUCUAUAAUACUGUACCAGAGAUGUAAAAAAACAAUUUUAACAAGCACAUCAGUGUAUUCAACAGAGCCAUGAAUGCUGUCCAUGAACCUAAAGACAGAUGGAGAGAAACUACUCAAGUGAAACACAAGGUCAAAAAAUUAAGGAAGCUGGAAAAGAAAGAGUGAGAGGAAGAGGCGGGGUGGGAGGAAGGGAUGGGGAGAGAACAGCCAAAAGUGUGGGACGACAUCUACCAGCCUCAUCUGCAUAUAAUGAAUCCGGGGACGAAAAGACAGAAUGUGAAAGAAGAAGUAUUUGAAGGAAUAAUAGUCAAGAUUUUCUCCAAAGUCAGUGACAGAAGUAAACCAGAAAUCAAAAGAUCUCAAAGAGAAAAAGCAGCAGAAAUACUAAAUAAAUACUAAAUAAACCACAAGUGGUUCAAACCACAAGGGUUCACAACACAGCAAGCCAAAAAAGGAAAAUAUAAAGACAGAGAAAAAUAAUGACAAAAGAAGAAGUAAAUUAUAUCAGACUUAUCAUUAGUAACUAAACAAGCACAAAGACAAUGGCUACCAUUCCUAAAUUUGGGAAAAGGCAGGGACUAAAAUCCCAGCAUUCUAUGUCCCACAAGUAAAUGGGAAACCUACCAUCCCCAAACUGUGGGAGGCUGAGGCAGAAGGAUCAUAAAUUCAAACCACCCUAGGAAACUUAGUGAUUUAGCAAAACCCUGUCUCAAAAUAAAAAUAAAAAGAGCUGGGGAUGUAGCACAGUGUAAAGUCCUUGGGUUCGAUGCCCAGUACUGAAAAAAAAGUAAAGGAGAAAUAUGACUUUUUCAGACAAGCA
ensembl:lincRNA